rnacentral:rRNA from 1 species
UCCCAGACUCCUACGGGAGGCAGCAGUGGGGAAUAUUGCACAAUGGGGGGAACUCUGAUGCAGCGACGCCGCGUGAGUGAAGAAGUAUCUCGGUACGUAAAGCUCUAUCAGCAGGGAAGAAACAGACGGUACCUGAGUAAGAAGCCCCGGCUAACUACGUGCCAGCAGCCGCGGUAAUACGUAGGGGGCAAGCGUUAUCCGGAUUUACUGGGUGUAAAGGGAGCGUAGACGGCAGUGCAAGUCUGAAGUGAAAGGCGGGGGCCCAACCCCCGGACUGCUUUGGAAACUGUGCUGCUGGAGUGCAGGAGAGGCAAGUGGAAUUCCUAGUGUAGCGGUGAAAUGCGUAGAUAUUAGGAGGAACACCAGUGGCGAAGGCGGCUUGCUGGUCUGUAACUGACGUUGAGGCUCGAAAGCGUGGGGAGCAAACAGGAUUAGAUACCCCGGUAUA